rnacentral:rRNA from 1 species
CAGCAGCCGCGGUAAGACGAACCGUGCGAACGUUAUUCGGAAUCAUUGGGCUUAAAGCGCGUGUAGGCGGAUGGGAACGUCGGUCGCUGAAAUACCCCGGCUCAACCGGGGAACUGGCAUCGAAACGACCCGUCUCGAGGGGCAUAGGGGGAGCUGGAACUUCCGGUGGAGCGGUGAAAUGGGUUGAGAUCGGAAGGAACGCCCGUGGCGAAAGCGAGCUCCUGGAUGUCUUCUGACGCUGAGACGCGAAAGCUAGGGGAGCGAACGGGAUUAGAUACCCCAGUAGUCCCUGUCUCUUAUA